rnacentral:rRNA from 1 species
CAAUAGCGUAUAUUAAAGUUGUUGCAGUUAAAAAGCUCGUAGUUGGAUUUUGGGGUUAGGUGACUGGUCUGCCGCAAUGGUGUGUACUAGUUGCUUGGCUCUUCCUUCUGGGAACGGCUCGUGUACUUCAUUGUGCGUGGGUCGAACGCAGAUCGUUUACUUUGAAAAAAUUAGAGUGUUCAAAGCAGGCCAAUGCCUUGAAUACAUUAGCAUGGAAUAAUGGAAUAGGACUUUGGUUCUAUUUUGUUGGUUUUCGAGAACUGAGGUAAUGAUUAAUAGGGAUAGUUGGGGGCGUUCGUAUUUCAUUGUCAGAGGUGAAAUUCUUGGAUUUAUGAAAGACGAACUUCUGCGAAAGCAUUCGCCAAGGAUGUUUUCGUUAAUCAAGAACGAAAGUU